rnacentral:rRNA from 1 species
GACGAACGCUGGCGGCGUGCUUAACACAUGCAAGUCGAACGAAGUGGCGAACGGGUGAGUAAUACGUGGGUAACCUGCCCUCAUUUUUGGGAUAAGCCUUGGAAACGGGGUGUAAUACCGCAUAAAGGGGGAUGGGCUCGCGGCCUAUCGGCUUGGUGGGGGGGUGAUGGCCUACCAGGGCGGUGCCGGGUAGCCGGCCUGAGAGGGUGACCGGCACUAUUGUGACGGCGAUACGACCAAGACUCGUACCGGAGGCAGAUGUGGGGGAAUGUGCGCAAUGCGGGAAAUGCAGCGGCGGGGACGUCGAGUGGGGGUUGAAGGCGUUCGGGUUGUAAACCUGUGUCGAUAUCGAACGGGUAGGUGGAGAAGAAGCGCCGGCUAACUACGUGCCAGCAGCCGCGGUAAUAC